rnacentral:rRNA from 1 species
GAUGAACGCUGACAGAAUGCUUAACACAUGCAAGUCAACUUGAAUUUGGGUUUUUAACUUAGGUUUGGGUGGCGGACGGGUGAGUAACGCGUAAAGAACUUGCCUCACAGCUAGGGACAACAUUUGGAAACGAAUGCUAAUACCUAAUAUUAUGAUAAUAGGGCAUCCUAUAAUUAUGAAAGCUAUAAGCGCUGUGAGAGAGCUUUGCGUCCCAUUAGCUAGUUGGAGAGGUAACGGCUCACCAAGGCGAUGAUGGGUAGCCGGUCUGAGAGGGUGAUCGGCCACAAGGGGACUGAGACACGGCCCUUACUCCUACGGGAGGCAGCAGUGGGGAAUAUUGGACAAUGGACCGAGAGUCUGAUCCAGCAAUUCUGUGUGCACGAUGAAGUUUUUCGGAAUGUAAAGUGCUUCCAGUUGGGAAGAAACAAAUGACGGUACCAACAGAAGAAGUGACGGCUAAAUACGUG